rnacentral:rRNA from 1 species
GCUAGAGCCAUAUCACUCUGCAGUUUUCACCUGGUUUCCCACUGAAGCCCAGCAGGGAUGAGUGUGUACAGUUCCUGGAUGGGAGACCUACUGGGGAAAACUAAGGCUUCUACUG